rnacentral:lncRNA from 1 species
GCCCUUUCUGGUUGAUCCCUGGUCUUGGUGACAACCUGACGCAGCACCAGGCUCUGGAGAAGAGGGACAACAUGAGAAGAGAAGCUGAUCACUUGCAGGAGGCUCCUGAGCUGAACAUGAGGCAAAAGCCAGGCCAAACUCAGAGGCUGUGGCCCCAGCCAGGCCACCCUCACCUUCAGAGUCUUGACCCCCCAGACCACACUACCGGACACCUGCUGGCCCUGUUUCCACAACAGACUGGCUCAGCCACACCCAGGCCCACAGGGCUCAGAGGCCUGCUCCCUGUUGAUCGUGUCAACUUUGAAAGGCCUUCAAGUUUAUCCCUAAACAAAGCCCUCCAGUUUAGCCCUAAAGAGCCAGGUGUUAACCUAACAGGAAGCAAUUUGGAAGGUCAAAGUCAAGUAGACGGAGAAGAGUGUUGAGAGUCCUGGGGUGACAACACCUGGGUCCCCUGCUCACCUGAGCCACAGACUCGCCAGGCAGCUGCUCCCAACCCCAGAACCUUUGCUGUCUUGGGACGGAUCACCGCUGCAAGAGGGGAAGUUGCUACUGUGAUGAAUUCUGCCAUGUGGCACCAGACUGCCACCCAGACCACAGUGUCCUCUGCAACCCUGGUAACUCACAUACAGGCCCGAUUCCACCUACAGCAAAGCUGGAUGCGAUGGCUGGCAGAGGCAAACCCUUUGCCUGCACUUCAGGCCAAAGCCGGGAUGUGGCCUAGAUGGUUCCUAAGGUCCCUGACAAUCCUGAGAUCUUGCAUCUUGUCUAUUUCAGGUCAAAGGUGCCUACAUGCUCCUUCUAGCUUUGUUUCCCUGAUGUUCCUUGCCACCUGCUACUCCUCUCUGAGCUACUUUUCCAGGUUCCACAGGGAGAGGUUCAGCUGUCCGUGGUAGACAUGAGGGUAGAGAAUGAGGUGGUUGGGUUCCACUUACCUUUCUAUCAUCUUGCAGUAUGGAUGUCUCUUGACUGGUACCGUGUAGACUUUUGAGGGCACACAGGAGUCUGCAGAGAGAUACUGGGGACAUUGAGCAGCAGCAGUGGGGUUGGGAGGCAGAAAUGAGGACAGGAACAUUUACCUUGUGUUUCUCUCAGCUUCUCAGAUGACCAAGAUGGUGCUGCAGAUGGUGCUGAGGAUGGAGAACCCACCAAGCCCCGCUAGGAGCCACCUAGACUGGAUGCAGAGCAUGGUUCAGUGAGUUCUCCAAACCAGCCUCCCAGGAAUGCCAUUCAACAUGGCUGUGAGGAGAAUAAAGAAGAGAGCCUGACUCCUCUCCUGAGGCCCCUUCCCCACCCUGAGCCAGCAGGAUCCACGGAGCAGAGGUCAUCUGUCCCCAGCUUGGCCCACUGAGGCCAGCAUGGCUGGGCCCAGGAUGCUUGUCUCUCAGCUCCCAUCCUGUGUACUUCCACAUUGGUUUAACCAGAGGAAAACCGAAAUCUACAAUUGUCAUAAACACAUUUAAAUGUGCGUAGAAUCAGCC